UCCCCUGUAGCUCAACAGGUAGAGCCGUGGCGCUGGAAGGCGGCCGCACAGACGCCGGUUCGAGUCCGGCCAGGGGAACGA
rnacentral:tRNA from 1 species